rnacentral:lncRNA from 1 species
ACACGCGCGCCCGAGCGAGCCCCGGGCUCCCCUCGGGCCCAGCGUGGCGCAGGGGUCAGUGGUUCUCUCGGGUCUCGGGACAGGUGAGCACCCUGAUGAAGGCCACGGUCCUGAUGCGGCAGCCUGGGCGGGUGCAGGAGAUCGUGGGCGCCCUCCGCAAGGGCGGCGGAGACCGGUUACAGGUACCUCUGGGGCGUGCGGGGGCCGGCCGGGCUGGGGGCGGCUGGAGAGGCUUCCUGCCCAUUGGGCCUUCCCGCUUUGCUCUGCCGCGGACCCCUCCUAGCUCUCUGCCCCAAGAAAUGGCCGGGAGCUUGAAGGAGAGCGGGUUGGUUCGCCUGUCCUAAAACCCAAAUUUCAGAUUUCUCAAUAUGGUCAUGCUGCUUCCUCUAAUUGGACAGAAGGCGCCCACACCAGUACCUAGGGCCUUAUCCUCCCCAAGCCAGCGGCUCCCCAGUAAGUUGAAGAUGUCCAGAUGGGCCGUAAUGGUAGAGAUCUCUUAGGAGGGACCUGAUAUUGAAGGAGUCAGAGGGGUCCUGAGUAUUCACCCUUGCCCCCACACUAGGAGACUGCGUUUUCCUCAGGGUUAACGGGUACUAAUUAGGAUCACUUCCCCUCUAUCCCUCUGUGUCACUCGGUAACUCCCCUAGGGCUUUGCCUACAUCCUGGCCACUGAGCUGUAUUGAUUUCCAUAAUCAUCCCCCAGGCUGAGGCAGGGCCACACUAGAAUUCUGGUGCCUAUUUAGGCAUCAUCUCUCUUUUGCCUUAUAGGUGAUUUCUGAUUUUGACAUGACCUUGAGCAGGUUUGCAUAUAAUGGAAAGCGAUGCCCUUCUUCUUACAGUAAGUCACAUUCUAGCUUCCCUUGUUGAGCUUGACAAGACGAUGGGUUCUAAGGGACAAGUAAAAGGAGUUUUCUCUUUUUCCAGAUAUUCUGGAUAAUAGCAAGAUCAUCAGUGAGGAGUGUCGGAAAGAGGUGGGUUGCUCCCGUCCUUUGCUCAGAAAUGGUUGUCAUUUGCUACUUCAAAUGGUUCCUGAUUGGAACCAAAGAUUCCAGUAUAGAGACCUUAGAAAAUUAAUUUUUAAAAACUUGUUGUUUUGCUAAGGAGGGUCUAGUUUUAAUACAUUAAGACAGCUUUUCCUUACUGGCCAGGACAUAUGAUGAUUAAUGGUUGGAACUGGACAUUAUAUUUACUGUUGGCUAUAGAGUUUACAAGAGAUUUGAACAUUCUGGAGGUUCAGCAACUUACCCAGGGUCAUACAGCCAAAUGGCAGAGCUUGUUUGUUUGUUUGUUUUGAGACAGGGUCUCACUCUAUCACCCAGGCUGGAGUGCAAUGGCUUGAUCUUUGUUCACUGCAGCCUUGACCUCCUAGGCUCAAGUGAUCCUCCUGCCUCAGCCCUACUGAGUAGCUGGAACUACAAGCAUGUAACAUUACACCUAGCUAAUUUUAAAAAUUUUUUGUAGAGAUGGGGUCUCACUAUGUUGCCUAGGUUGGUCUUGAACUCCUGAGCUCAAGCAAUCCUCCUUCCUCAGCCUCCCCAAAGUGCUGGGCUUAUAGGCAUGAGCUACCACACCUGGCCUUUUUAAAAGAAAAUUUAUAUUCUUCUGUUGGGUUCUAGUGUGUGUGUGUGUGUGUGUGUGUGUGUGUGUAUUUUUUUUUUUGAGACAGAGUCUUGCUCUAUGGCCCAGGCUGGAGUGGCAUAAUCUCAGCUCACUGCAACCUCGGUUCAAGCAAUUCUCAUGCCUCAGCCUCUCGAGUAGCUGGGAUUACCAGCAUGCAUCACCAUGCCCGGCUAAUUUUUGUAUUUUUAGUAGAGACGAGGUUUCUCCAUGUUGGUCAGGCU